CAGCAACAGCUUUCAUUGCAUCAACUUCUGGCCCCUGGUAAUUCAAUCCAACCUUGGUUGAUAUUAUUCCUGCAACAUCAUCAGCUUGGCUGACCAUGAUUUUGCAUAGCAACAUAUACUUGAGGCUGUAUAGGGCCUGGGGAUUUUCAAGGGCAUUAAAUGCUUCAAAUGCCUCAUAGAAAUAGCUGUAAGCAGUUUUAUAAUCCUUCUCUUCUGCAUGGAGUAUCCCACUCUGCAAAUCAAUCGCACCUUGCUGAGCUGGAGGGACAUAAAUAGCAUUGGCAGCUGUUCGAGCAGCAGUAAGUGCAGCCUUGGCUUUGGGAAGAUUUCUCAAUGAGAAAUGGAGCUGGCUCUCCAGCAAGUCAAUCUCCACAAGAAGAAGCUUGUCAUCCAAUCUUCUCACCUCCUUGAUCAACCCUGAAAGGAGUGUCAAUGCUUCAGAAUACUCUUUGUUUUCCAUCAAAAGAGCUG
rnacentral:misc_RNA from 1 species